UGUCAGACAAGAGACAGAGUCGGUGGAUCGGACCUACGCAGAGCCAAAGUGUCUCCUACCAUAGAGGGAAGGCUGGACUCCAACUUAACGACAACACAGACAAGAGACACUCCUACCCUGGAUUGGAGAGGCUGACGGUGAACACCAGCCGAGAGCCUUCGUCUAACAGAAACAGUGAUUAUGACUCUUAUAACUUGUGAUCAUCAUCAUCAUCAUCAUCGUCAUCAGUCAUAUCCUUCAUUCACUAUGACAAUAUACUGUACAUGUAUUUUUCAUAUUUUAUUCUAUUUUUUAUAUUUUGUUAUAUUUUUUAUGCUAAAUGUAAUAUUUUUUUAAGCACAUAAUAUCAUUUUUGGGGGGGUUUUUGUACGUAAUUCAGUCAUUUACUUCUUUUAUUGAAUAAAUGUAAAGUUUGUUGUUGAA